GUUAUAUAACUGUUAUUCCGCAGAACAUCAAUUUGCAAAGUACCCAGCUAGCACAAUAGCAGCAUCGAGUAUAGCCGCUUCAAUGAGUGGGCUAAAAUGUCAUCUUCGCACAGGCCAUAAUCUUCCCUUUUUAUUAGGUCUACUUACGGACUUAACCAGCAUCGAACAAGUUCAACUGCAAGAGUGUAUGUUGCAUAUGGAGAACAUUUUUGAAGAGCACAGUCGCAACCUGCAGCCGUUUUUUGUUGACAUUCAACCUCCUAACUCUGCAAAAAUGUACUGCCAGAGACGUAAUCAGACUCAUCCAAACCAGCAAUAUCAUCAGCAGCGCCCGCAACGCAUGAGGCAAAUGCCAAUACCCUCCCUAACAUUUACUACUGCUGACACCAACGCUGAUCAAAAUUGCUUUAAGGCUACCCUACCCUAUCGGACGCAAACAUUUAAGAUUCUAGGGCAGGCUAAAAAUGAGUUACAAGACAUACAAUUUUGAGAAAAGUAUUUUUUGAGCUAGUAUAUUAAAUAUUAGUAUUUAAAUAUAUAUUAGUUUCCUCCAAGUCUUUGUAAAUUAAAUUACACAUAAAAAAGAAGAAUACAUAAUAAUUAACAUUAUUACAUUUUUUUUUUAAGUCUCCUUAUACAAAACGGAAUUUUCUUUAUAUUGCCUCUAUACUUCGAUUUUUGUUGUUUAACUAGCCGGCCCUGCCUUGUUUUGCUGUGGCGCUCAUUGUGGUUGCACGGAUAAGAAAUGAGGACAACUCAGUUGAUUGUUUCUUGAUGGAGAAUAUAAAGAGUUUUGACCUGAUCUCCGACUAUGGCAAUUGAUUCUCCGCUAAUACGGCUACUACGGUUAG